rnacentral:lncRNA from 1 species
UGGAACGCCUCUCCGGCGGGCGGAACCCUGUAGCCCGAGGCCAUAGCUCUGUCGCGCUGGCCAACGGUUUACCUUGGCCCUUGCGCCCGGGGAUCUCCGUCAUCACUCCAUAUUGAUGUCGCAUGACCGCUGGGCGGCUGACUCACCGCUCCAGAGCCCGGCCCUAGUCUGGGACUAGGGAUUCUCGUCACCACGGGCACUUCCACG